GCCUACUUGAGUUUCAUCGUUGCUAUUCCCGCUUAUCGCUAUGUUUACGUUUCAGCGCUCCGACAGUCGGAUUUGUGCCCUGCGAGAAACUCAGCCGAAUCGCGCCGGGCGAUAAACGUGUUAAUCAGUUAGGCUUUUUUCACAGUUUACAAACAAGUAGAAGAAAAGAAUUACCAAGGUCUCUACCAAAAUUAUUUAAGAUAUUUUCAAUUAUUCGAUACCCGAAUAAGGAACUUCAAACACACGGGGCAGUGUUGAUUUGAAAGAUCAAAUGUUUCAUAGCCAUAUGAUCGAAAGGAAAAGUUUGCACAAAAUGAAUAUGUUGAUCGAAAGUCUACUAGUGACAUAUAGCAGCAAAAAAAAAGAAAUAAAUCAAGUACAACACCGGAUAGUACAGUUUCAAGACUUGCGGGCAGACACUUCAUUUCGAAAGUUCCUCCCUCGGAUAAUAAAGCAAGACCACAAAGAAGAUGCGUGGAAUCCUCAAAACACGAAAGAAAAAAGAUACUGUACAUUUUUACUUUGUUUGUCACAUAGGACUUUGUUUAGAAAAGUGUUUCAAAAUUUAUAACACGAUAUUAAAUUAUUAUGGUGAGAAACUAGUAUUUUUUUAAAUUAGGAUUUACGUAAUUUCAUUAAUUAAAUGUAGCUAUGACAGAUAUGUAAAAAGUUACAAUAAUCAAUAAAUGGUAUGGAAACAUU